GGAAGUAAAAGUCGUAACAAGAUUUCCGUAGGUGAACCUGCGGAAGGAUCAUUAUUGUAUAACCGAGGUGCGAGGGCUGUCGCUGACCCGAAAGGUCGUGCACGCCCGAGUGCCCUCACACACAUCCAUCUCACCCCUAUGUGCACCACCGCGUGGGUCCCCCUUUGGCUUGUUCGGAGGGGGGCUUACGAUUUCACACAAACUUUGUAUGCAGUGUAGAAUGUAUUUUUUGUUUUUGCGAUCACGCAAUCAAUACAACUUUCAACAACGGAUCUCUUGGCUCUC
rnacentral:misc_RNA from 1 species